AUCAUUGAGGAUGAGGAGAAUUUGAAUAGAACAGUUAUCCCUGUCUGAUGCAUUGCUGCUGAUCUAUUUUGAAUCUCUGACUAUUAU